CGGUAACAGGCCUUCGGGCGCUGACGAGUGGCGAACGGGUGAGUAAUGCAUCGGAACGUGCCCAGUCGUGGGGGAUAACGCAGCGAAAGCUGUGCUAAUACCGCAUACGAUCUGUGGAUGAAAGCGGGGGACCUUCGGGCCUCGCGCGAUUGGAGCGGCCGAUGUCAGAUUAGGUAGUUGGUGGGGUAAAGGCUCACCAAGCCAACGAUCUGUAGCUGGUCUGAGAGGACGACCAGCCACACUGGGACUGAGACACGGCCCAGACUCCUACGGGAGGCAGCAGUGGGGAAUUUUGGACAAUGGGCGCAAGCCUGAUCCAGCAAUGCCGCGUGCAGGAAGAAGGCCUUCGGGUUGUAAACUGCUUUUGUACGGAACGAAACGGUCCUGGUUAAUACCUGGGGCUAAUGACGGUACCGUAAGAAUAAGCACCGGCUAACUACGUGCCAGCAGCCGCGGUAAUACGUAGGGUGCGAGCGUUAAUCGGAAUUACUGGGCGUAAAGCGUGCGCA
rnacentral:rRNA from 1 species